rnacentral:lncRNA from 10 species
GGAGGGCCCUCCAAGGCCAUGUUUUAGCAGAAACCUGGGUGAUCAGAAGGGGCUGGCCUGGAGCGCUACAGGCUCAGGUUCCAGAGGACGAACAACCCCUGCAGUGAGGGCCUGCUGUCUGGGAUGUGUCAGGUCUGGGAGGCGGUGUUGCUAUGGAGAAAACCAUAGUAGGGAAGGGAGGAAGGGGUGCAGUUUUAGAGCAGAGAAGGUGAAAAGACACCAACAAGUAAGAUCCUAAAACAGGGCAGAGAGGGAGCCACGUAGGGAUUUGGAGGAAGAGCAUUCCGGGCAUCACAAAGAGCCGUUGCAGGCCAGGCACGGUGGCUCACGCCUGUCGUCCCAGCACUUUGGGAAGCUGAGGCAGGCAGAUAACCUAAGGUCAGGAGUUUGAGACCAGCCUGGCCAACAUGGCGAAACCCCGUCCCUACUAAAAAUACAAAAAUUAGCUGGGUGUGGUGGCACAGGCCUGUAAUCCCAGCUACUCGGGAGGCUGAGGCAGGAGAAUCACUUGAACCUGGAAGACAGAGGUUGCAGUGAGCAGAGAUCAUGCCACUCCACUCCAGCCUGGGGAACAGUGAGACUGCCAUCUCAAAAAAAAAAAAAAAAAAGAGCCAGUGCAAAGGUCCUGGGGUAGGGAGAAGCAAGGAGGCCAGUGUGGCUGGGGUGGAGUGAACAAAAGAGGGUGAGAGGAGGUGAGUGCAGAGAUGAUGGGGCAGGUUCACAUAGGCCCUUGUGGGCCAUGGCUGAGAGCCUUGGCUUCUACCUGGAGUGAGGUGCAGCAGGCAGACCCCUCUGAGGGAAAGAGGGCUCCAAAGUGACAGGUGUUCAUGGGUCCCUGUGGCUGCAUGUUGGAGGAGGACGGGGACAGCAGGUAAGAGGCUGCUGCCGUAGUGCUGGUGGCAGAAGAAGAAGGAUGGACCAAGAUGAGGGCCCAGGGUAGCGGUGGGGAGAGUGAGAUCCUGGAAAUCUUUUGGAGAUGGAGCUACUGGACCUGUGCAUUAGAAGGAUGAGGUGUUCAAGGCUGUCACCCAGCCCCAUCCAGGCUGGGAUGAUUUGAGGCAGAGCAGGCUACAGCUCCAGGUGGGAAGCCAAGCCAUGACAAUGGAGCCAGGACCCUGGGCUGGCUUCAGGAGGCCUCCGUGGGGAAGAUACAGGUUCUGAGAGAGUUGGAGGGGUCAAUCGGCAGAUCUGUUUCCCAGACACUGCUACAGGCAUGUAGCAUGGUGAUUAAGAAUCAAAGCUGGGCAUGGUGACUCGUGCCUGUAAUCUCAGCGCUUUGGGUGGCAGGGGCAGGAGGAUCCCUUGAGGUCAGGAGUUCAAGACCAGCCUGGGCAACAUGGCAAAACCCUGUCUCAAAAAAAAUUCUCCAGACAUGGUGGCAUGCACGUGUGGUCUCGGCUACUCGGGAGGUUGAGGUGGGAGGAUGGCUUGAGCCCAGAAGUUUGACGCUGCAGUGAGCCAAGAUCACAACACUGCACAGUAGCCUGGGUGACAGAGUGAGACCCUGUCUAGGAAAUAAUAAAAAUAAAAAUCAGACUUUACAGACUGUCUGGUUUCAAAUGUUCGCUCCAUCACCUACUCAUGUACUUU